GUAAGGAAUAUUGGACAAUGGGGGAAACCCUGAUCCAGCCAUGCCGCGUGAGUGAAGAAGGCCUUCGGGUUGUAAAGCUCUUUCAGAUGUGAAGAUGAUGACGGUAACAUCAGAAGAAGCUCCGGCUAACUUCGUGCCAGCAGCCGCGGUAAUACGAAGGGAGCGAGCGUUGUUCGGAAUCACUGGGCGUAAAGAGUGCGUAGGCGGUUAUACAAGUCAGGAGUGAAAUCCCAGGGCUCAACCCUGGAAUUGCUUUUGAAACUGUAUAGCUAGAGUCCCGGAGGGGUUAAUGGAAUUCCGAGUGUAGAGGUGAAAUUCGCAGAUAUUCGGAGGAACACCAGUGGCGAAGGCGAUUAACUGGACGGGCACUGACGCUGAGGCACGAAAGCGUGGGGAUCAAACAGGAUUAGAUACCCUAGUAGUCC
rnacentral:rRNA from 1 species